UGGCGGACGGGUGAGUAAUGUCUGGGAAACUGCCUGAUGGAGGGGGAUAACUACUGGAAACGGUAGCUAAUACCGCAUAACGUCGCAAGACCAAAGAGGGGGACCUUCGGGCCUCUUGCCAUCGGAUGUGCCCAGAUGGGAUUAGCUGUAGGUGGGGUAACGGCUCACCUAGGCGACGAUCCCUAGCUGGUCUGAGAGGAUGACCAGCCACACUGGAACUGAGACACGGUCCAG
rnacentral:rRNA from 1 species